rnacentral:lncRNA from 10 species
CGCCGCGCCUGCGCAAAGCGGACCCGCGGACGGUGGCGCUGGGUGGCCACGGAGGUCCCGCGCUCCCCGACCGAGAUAGGGCGGGCCCUAUUUCGGAGAGGUGUUUGGCACCAACAUUUUUUAAAGCCCCGUGGGUGGUUCUCCGGGAUCUCCCAGACCGAGAGGGCCUGAACGUCCAGACCUCAGGGAAUGGGGUCGAAGGGGCGGCGCUCGUCCGCGGAGGUGGGCGGGAGCGGCCCGGGGCCUCGGGCCUCUAGAGAGCGGGAGUGACCCUCGGUUUCUGGCCUCCGAGGGGCGGGAGCGAUCCUCAGCCAUGUCCCUAGUCUCUGGCUUGCGGCUGAUUUUUAAAUUUUUUGUAGAGGCCGGAUCUUGCUCUGUUGCCCAGGCUGGUCUCGAACUUGUGGCCUCAAGCGAUCCUCCCUCCUGGGUCUCCCGAAGUGCGGGGAUUACAGACAGAGCCACUGCGCACGGCCGUGGUCAGCUUUGAAAGCUGGGUAGAUCCCUUUGGCUUAUACGCCUUUCUGCUAGCUUACCCUGAUUCUGCUUCUGGUUCAGAUAGUAUUUUAAUAUUUCUAGUGUGUCUUUUUGUAAGAUACCUGAAAUCUUUUUGUGGAAUGAAGUGGCAUGAAAAAUAAACCAAUAAUCAUUACCAGGUACUGAGCCCUUCAAUUGAGGUCUAAACCCUCCACCCUCUCCCUCCGGGAUUGCCAAGCCUGUGGUUUCAGUUCCAUGCUCCCAGGCGACACCCUCUGUCUCUGAGUUGUGGGAGCCU